UAAGAUGUACAAAUGAUUGCUUAAGAUUACAUCAAUACUAUAAAUACAGAAAAUUCAAUACUAUAAUACAUAUAUUUAAUAUACUACCAGGACCAUUUGGCUUCAUUCCCUAUACCAAACUUCAGGUAUAUUAAUCCAUCAGUUCAAGUGAUAAAUCUUUCAUGUGUUGUGCAAGAGGAUUGAAUCCUUGCAUCAGGAACCAUUAAUUUCUUGAAACCUGAAAUCCAUGAUAAGUUAGAAAAAUAUUUUCAUAGAUGAAGCAAAAGGCCAGCACAUAGAAACAGUAAUGUCAGGGAAUAGAGAUUCAAGGCCAGAUUGGCUUCAGAAUAAGGGUUAAGAAAUCCUCCAAAGCAAAGAGAAGAAAGCAAAAUAGCUUAAAUUGGAGAGAAAAAAGUAGAAAGCAAACAAAUGCAGCAAAGUUGGCCUAUCUCUCUCGAAACAACCAUUUGCAGAGGCCACAAACACAAUUCUACUAUUCUACCCUGAAGCAUGGUGAGUAGAAGAGAGGCAACGUUAGCAUUAUGAGCUUGUUAAUUAACAAAACAAACUUUUCAUUUAUGUUGAUGAAGUCAAGAAAACACAAGGGUUUUAUGUCUAAAUAAAAGUAAAAUGCUGAUCUGAAGAAAAUGUCUAAAACUCUCAGUAGGCAGAGAAAAUUUUUGCCCACAGAAAUGUGACAGACUCAAUAAACAAUGUAAUCAAUUCGUACAUGGCUCCACUUAUAUAAACAGACAAUUUCAUAAGCUAUAUAUCAUCAAAGUACAGAACGAAAAAAGAUAAGUAUUAUAUAUUACAAAACAAAGAUGCAAAUUGGAGUUCAAAUGAUAUUUGUGGGAUCACAUUUUUUAUGAGACAGAAACAAAAGCAAUAUGAGGAAGGUACUAUUCUAUCUGAUAUUCUGAUGACAUGGAAUUGUUCUGGCAGAAAAACUGAAAUGUAUUUGUAAUAAUAAACAUAUAAGAAACGUUUUUAUGGGUAUAACAAAAAACUUAUCUGAAGUAACGCAUGGCCCACACUGGCCACAUAGGACUCUGAAAUAACCACAGCUUAAAAUUACGUUAAAAACACAAUAAAGUAACAUUGAGACUAGUACAACUUAAGGUAGAUGGCUCACUCUAGAUGCAUUCUGAAGCAACAACAAUAACUACACAAAUAGACACACUGAUAACAAGUGAAAAAGUGACCUCUUGGUCACAAAAAGUCUACUUUAUCCUUAUGUUGAGACACAUCUUAAAUCACCCACCAGUAGCAUAUUGAAAUUCGAUUGCAACCCAAAAUCAGAAAUGCUGGUAAUAAACCCUACCCAAAAAAGUCUUCAUAGCUUAUAGUAAAAUAAAAAUACUAUUUUUAAUCAACAAAUGCAAAACCCAGUGAGAAAAAAAUUGGAACAACUCCCAAAAAAAGCAACGAGGACUAAAAAGGAAAAAAAAUGAGAAAUGGGUAAGAAUGAAGAGGAUAAAAAAAGUACCUUGAUGGAAGAAACGAUGAGAUGAGGAAGUGGGCAUUGCAAUAGUGAGGUUUGGUGUGUGGAGAGAGAAGAAAAAGAAGAAGAGAAUAAUGGAAGGUGAG
rnacentral:lncRNA from 1 species